rnacentral:lncRNA from 1 species
GAGAAAAUCAAAGCCCGUAUCAUCUGCUUCACGUCCCGCAUUUACUUAACGCUACCAGGCCUUCUUUUUCUUGAAGUGCUCUUUGAGCCUAUGUGGUUCCAGCAUGAGUCUCCUUGGGGGAUAUGUUAGGGGAUGCUGUCAGAACAACUACUUCUUGAGAAGUCCAAGGAACCGGCAGAAACCUUUACCAAAAAGAUGAUCAACUCAGAUACUGCUGCAGUGCAAAAGGACAGGCAAGGAGAAAGUAUUUUAAACACAGAAGGGAGUAAGGGAAACGGGAAGAAUACCACGUGCUUCUGCUAUGUCCUGUGUCACAGAAACAUCAGCAGCCACAACCAGACAGCCACACCCACCCCGGGAGCAAGAGCUGGGAAGAACCACAGCCCUGCGAGAGAAAUCUCACAGGCCAAUGGACCAAAAAGGGACAUGCAGUUUAAUAUUUUUCCUGCAAAAUGCAAUUUUAAAUAAUGACAAUAGAUCUAUAGAGAGAUAUAAAAUGAAAAAUCAUUUAUACCAAAUCUUAUGCCUCUUAUUCACUCCUUAACUCAUAUACUAAAAAUUCUUCAGCAU